rnacentral:rRNA from 1 species
GAAAUUUUGCAGCUUAAACUGUAAACGUGCAUUUGAUACUGCUCGACUAGAGUUUAAGGGACGUAACCCGGAAUGUGAUGUGUAGCGGGUGAAAUGCAUAGAUAUCUCUCAGAACGCCGAUCGUGAAGACAGGUUACGAAUCUUAAUACUGACGCUCAGGCACGAAAGCGUGGGGAUCAAACAGGAUUAGAUACCGUGCUUGUGCACGCUGUAGACGAUGAUCACUCGCUGCUGGCUACUCACAAUCAGUGGGCAAGCGAAAGCGAUAAGUCAUCCACACGGGAAGUACGAUCGCAACAUUGAAACUCAAAGGAAUUGAAGGUAACCCGCACAAGCGGAGGAGCAUGUGGUGUAAUUCGAUGAUCCGCGAGGAACAUUACCCGGGCUAGAAGGUAAGAUGAAUAUCUGUGAAACCAUAUAGCAUACGGGCGUCGUGUUAGGUGGUGCAUGGUAGUUGUCAGCUCGUGCCGUGAGGUGUUAGGUUAAGUCGUGAAACGAGCGCAACCCCUACCUAAUAGUUGCCAUCACGUCAAGGUGGGAACUUUAUUAGAACUGCGUCCCCAAGUAGAGAUGAAGGAGGGGAUGACGUCAAAUCAGCACGGCCGGUAUCCCGGGGGAUAUACACCUGUUACAACGCCACAUACAGAGGGCAGCUACUCAGUGUAGAGAUGCUAAUCUUCCAAGGCUGUCUCAGUUCGGACUGAUGUUUGAAACUCGAGUCGCUGAAAUUGGAUUUGCGAGUAAUCACGCAUCUGCCAUUUCACCCCGAUCACGUUUCUCGGCCUCUCCGCAGGUUCAAUAUUUCCCCUGGAAGCUGAUGAUACGCAAACACCUCGCCCAAAAGGAGCGGCGUAG